CUACGGGGUGCUCCAGUGAGGAAUUUUGCGCAAUGGGGGAAACCCUGACGCAGCAACGCCGCGUGAGCGAAGAAGGCCCUCGGGUCGUAAAGCUCUGUCAAGUGGGAAAAAAAUCUUUUGAUCAAUAGUCAAAAGACUUGAUGGUACCACUGGAGGAAGCACCGGCUAAGUCCGUGCCAGCAGCCGCGGUAAUACGGAGGGUGCAAGCGUUGUUCGGAUUUACUGGGCGUAAAGAGCGUGUAGGCGGUUUAGCAAGUCAGAUGUGAAAGCCCUGGGCUCAACCCGGGAAGUGCAUUUGAAACUGCUUCACUAGAGUAUGGGAGAGGAGAUUGGAAUUCCUGGUGUAGAGGUGAAAUUCGUAGAUAUCAGGAGGAACACCCGUGGCGAAGGCGAUUCUCUGGACCAAUACUGACGCUGAGACGCGAAAGCGUGGGGAGCAAGCAGGAUUAGAUACCCCCGUAGUC
rnacentral:rRNA from 1 species